CCUACGGGAGGCUGCAGUGGGGGAUAUUGGACAAUGGGGGAAACCCUGAUCCAGCGACGCCGCGUGAGUGAAGAAGUAUUUCGGUAUGUAAAGCUCUGUCAGCAGGGAAGAAAGAAAUGACGGUACCUGCCCAAGAAGCCCAGGCUAACUACGGGCCAGCAGCCGAGGUAAUACGUAGGGGGCAAGCGUUAUGCGGAAUUACUGGGUGUAAAGGGAGCGUAGACGGUGAUGCACGUCUGGAGUGAAAGGCGGGGGCCCAACCCCCGGACUGCUCUGGAAACUGUGUAACUUGAGUGCAGGAGAGGUAAGCGGAAUGCCUAGUGUAGCGGUGAAAUGCGUAGAUAUUAGGAGGAACACCAGUGGCGAAGGCGGCUGACUGGACUGUAACUGACGUUGAGGCUCGAAAGCGUGGGGAGCAAACAGGAUUAGAUACCCUUGUAGUC
rnacentral:rRNA from 1 species